UAAAUUAAUAAAUUGUAUAUAAGCAUAUUCGAGUUGUACAAGAACAAUUCUCUGUAUCAGAGAACAGACACAUAAAUACACACACGUAACAUAUACAUACAGACAACAACUCAGCAGAGAUGGAGGCAGCACCGGCGACGGCGACAAAAGUUAGCCGGAAAAAGGCCCAGCCCACGAAAGAGGGCAUGAAAAGACCCAAGCCCACCAAAGUUUCAGUGGUGAGAAUCAAGUACACAGACCCUGACGCAACGGACGACUCCUCCUCCGACGAAACGACGUCGUCUCCGAAGCAGGUGGUUCACGAAGUUCACCUGAGGAAAACAAGCCCCAAGUACCCAGGAGCUCGUUUGAGGAAAUGGGGAAACUGGUGUGCUGAAAUUAGAAACCCAAUUACUAAGAGAAGGCAGUGGCUUGGGACUUACCCUACUGCUGAGGAAGCUUCCAGGGUGUAUCUUGAGAAGAAGAAGGAGUUUGGUGAGUUUGUUAAGAACUCGAAAGACCAAAUUAAGACUAGCCCAUGUUGAUUAAUUUGUUGAUUUAGGUGUUUAUUAAGAGCUAAGUUACCCGGACACGGGUAUGGGUAUCGGACAUGGGUACAGAUCCAAGAGUCAGAUUCGUAGUUUUAGGAUAAUUAGGAUUCGUGGACAUGGAUCCGGAAUUAGACUCGGGUACGGGGACUUGAUACUUAAGCUCCACGCAAGUAAGACUUUAUAUACCCUGAUUUAUGGUACAUUCAUAAAAAUAGUGUCUACUGCACAUAAAUGACAUACGCUGAAAAUUGAAGCAUAAAAUCAAUAAAACAACAUAGAAACAAGUCAUUCAUGGAUCUUGAUCUCUAUAAACAGGUUGAAACAAGACCUAAGUUUUCAUUUUGACCUGGAAUGUUACAAGGUGAGGUGUCCGGUUGUAAUAAGAAGGAUCCGACACAGAUCCCAUAUCCACACCCAUGUCAUAUCCGGUAGACACGGGUAUAGGCACAAAAAUGGAGAGUCCGGGUAACAUAGAUUAAGAGUUGCUGUAAUGGGGGUGUUUGUUGUGUUGGACAUAUAAGUGUACACAUGUUUAUGUGUGUUUGUUAUUGUACAUUGUUUUCGUGGUAAUUGAAUUUGUUCCCUUUGACUUCAAUCUUGCGUUUGUUGGUUUGUUUAUUUUGGUUUAUGGAUGUUCUAGGGUUAAAUGUUUAGAAUUGUUUCGUUUAUUUUGAGAAGCUGAAAAAGAAAGGUGUGUUUGUUGAGAAUAAGAAGGAUCACGUUAAGAAUUGGUGUAAUGGGGAUGUUUGUUGUGUUGGGCAUAUAGAUACGCACAUGCGUUAGUGUGUUUGUUAUUGUACAUUGGUUUUAUGGUAUCAAAUUUGUUCGCUUUAACUUUAAGAUUUGAGAUCAGGAUGACUAAGAAUCUAGUAAUGGAAACACCAUAAACUGACACCAAUGGCAUUCCUGCACCAUUCCUCUUGUUCAUGUUUACAGUUACUUGCCUCAAGUUUCAUGGCCAUGAAAUCCCAUGAUAUACGUACAAAUCUGAAAUUCACACACCCUUUUGCUUGCUUCUUGGUCUGAGUGAAGGCCGUAGCAAACAGCCCACUUGGAGAGUCUCUCCAGAGAAGAUUGGAGGAGAGAGAAAAGGUUAAGGUUGUUAAUGCUUCCAACUUAAACAAACUUUAUCAGCAGGCAAGAAUGGAUAGCUCGUAGUAUGGGGAAAAAUGCCCUCGAUGGCUUGGUCUGAUUCCAUAUGAUAUGAGUAUCCUGUCUAUCUUGAUGGACAAUGUCCUGGUAAUUAUGGCUUUGUUGUUGCUGGUUUAAGCGAAGACCUAGUGGCUUUUUAGAGAUUCUUCAAGUAUAUACUCAUUUCUUAUACUGGCCAUUUGUUUCCAUGGGUACACUCAGCUACUAUAUCACUUUGAUAUAUUGCAUGCUCGAUGGGCUAUGCUUGCUGCUCUUUGCCCUUUGAUUCCAGAAUCACUGAACUUACUCGGGGCCUUUAAUUUCAUUGAACCGGUCUGGUGGAGUGUAGGCUAUAAUAAGCUUCAGGUACUAUUCUUCUUUCUGGUGUGCUCCGGAACUAUCCUCUCCGCCCUCCCCCUCCCCCCAAAGCAUGCAUUUUUAAACCUCUUUGCUUGUUUGAAUGCAUAUCAUGACACUAUGAUUUCACACUAUAUUUUUUACAUCUAUGAUGCAAACAUUUCUCAAUUGAUAUUUAUUUUGUCUCGCUGACGUAUAUACGUAAUGUGAUAGUUUUUUCAAUUUUUAUUAGACUUUCAAAAUAUAUUUAGGAUUAAAUAGUAGUCUAGAUAAUUUUUUGUUGCAUGCGCUCUGCCAAAUGCACCCCAAUGUCUAGAUUUUUUGUUUCUUAAGAUUAAAGUUCUCAUCAAUAUUAAGAUAAAAAAAAUAGUCUCCCAAUACCCAGACAGAUAAAGUAGAAAGACCAUGUGAGAGCAAUAGUCAGAGGUAGAUAAUUGAAUGAAUAAUUUACAGAAUUUUGAGCAACGCCUGCACUACAGUUAGAGGGUAUUGAAGUCGUAUGCAAGUGAGCUUGAGUAGGAUAGCCAGGCACGUGAAAGGUUAAUAGAUACUAGAAGCACGGGCUCCGUUCCAACAUCUCUCAAGUAUCUAUAUCUCUUAAUUUUUUAACUCUUUCUUAUUCACUAAAUGUUCUUCAACUCUUCAUCUUUAAUUCAACUUAAAAGUCCCAAACUGAACCAUUCCUAAAGUUCCAAUUUGACUAGAAAUUCUAGUUCACCUCUAUUUUCUAAUCUAAUUAAGUUGGGAUAAAAUGGUUCACUUUUUUUUUAGAAAAUAUAUAUGAUUUAAUAUUCAUUUUUCUGCUUCUCAAUGAUUAUUUUUCAGAAAAAAAUGUUAUCAGUCGAGGCUUUCUCUUUUUGAAAUAGACUGUGAUCAAUUUCUAGUUAGGAUAAUGUGAUUCUUGUUUUUGUGUUUCUAUGGGUAUAACCCAAAUUAUUAAAAUAUUUAUUAAUUUAACAUUUUAGUUAUAGAUAAUUGAUUGCAGAAAUCCCUUAACUUUUCCUGAAAACAAAAAUAAUAUAUAAGUUGGGGUGAUUGCGAUGCGGUUUUUUUUUUAAAACAGCAAAACAAGGUUUGAACGAAUAUUCAAACCGCAGUCAUACUAGCAUAAAAAUGGCAUAGAUCACAACACAAAAAUGCUAGCGGGCAGGGAUGGGGUCAAGUAUGGUUCUUCAGUUUGUCUGUAACAGCUCCAGGAUCUCUCCGGAGCCGUGAUGACGUUUUACUGGUUAGAGAUGGAUUGAGUGGGGUCAUGAGUGGGCCUUGGAUAAGUGUUGUCUUCUAGAGGGUGGGUGAUGACAUUUGGGAGGUGGAUGGGUGUGUCUUCUAGAGAAUGGGUGAUGGGAGGUGGAUGGGUGUGUCUUGUAGGGUGGGUGAUGGCAUCUAAAGGUGGGUGAUAUAAUAUAAGACUAGUCUCUCUUUUGUAUUUAAGUAUUUAAGAUUUGUAUUUGAUCUUUUCGUCAAAAAAAAAAAGAAGUUUCGUAUUUGAUUACUAAUCUAUGGGGUUAAUAGGCAAAAAGAUCACUGAACUCAUGGCCAACUUGCAGUUGGGUCAUUGAACUCAAAAAGUUUGCAAACGGAUCACAGAACUAAAUUUAAGUUGCAGUCAACUCACUGAACUAAUAAAAACUUGCAUUUAGGUCACUGUGCCGUUAAGAAUGAGUUGACUUUAACGGAAUCCGUUAAAGAUAAUAAUAAAAAAUAUAAAAAAUUUGAAAAAAAUAUAAAAAUUCAAUUUUCUCAAAAAAUUCUGAAAACUUAAAAAAAAUCUGAAAAUUUUGAAGAAACUUUAAAAAAUAUGGAAUGUUUUUAAAAAAUAUGAAAAAUGUAAAAAUUUCGAAAAAAAUCUAAAAAUUUUGAAAAAAAUUCAAAAAUUCAAAAAAAUCUGAAAAUUCAAAAAAUAUACCUAAAUUUCUGAAGUUAAAAAAAAAUUCAGACUUUUUCCAAAUUUCCAGAUUUUUUCGAAGUUUUAAAUUUUCAAAAUCGAGUUUUUAAAAAAGCGAAUUUUUAUAUUUUUUCAAUUUUUAUUAACGGAUUCCAUUAAAGUCAACUGAUACUUAACGGCACAGUGACCUAAAUGCAAAUUUUUAUUAGUUCAGUGAGUUGACUGCAAGUUAAAUCCAGUUCUGUGAUCCGUUUGCAAACUUUUUGAGUUCAGUGACCCAAUUGCAACUUGAUCAUGAGUUCGGUAAUUUUUUUGCCUAUUAACCCCUAAUCUAUGUAUAUAAUAGAGUUGUGUUAUGUGCAGUACUUAUUUUGGUGUAAUACUUAUAGACCAAAUAAUCUAUCAUUGAAUUAUAAAACUAAUGAAUGGUUGAGAUUAUUCAGGAAAUACAACAACUUUCAUUAACUAUAACAAUCUCGUAUAGAGAUUCACAUGGACCGUAUAUCUUGCAACUGUAAUGGUAUAUCACUACGAAAAAGUAAAAGUGACCGAGAUGCGAGGGGAAAACUUUUGUUUAACAUAUCCGGAAAGACCACCUAUUUGUUCGUUUACCGGGUUCGGCACGAAAUCAUAAAUAAGCUAUACCAAGGAUUGCCAUCGUGUACUUGUCUCUGUUAAAUCUUUCAAUUACAGAUUAAUUUUUUUUAUUGUAAAUAGAAAUACAAGACUAUCGUCUUGCUCUUGUACAUCGAUUUUAUAGCUUUAUGAAUAACAGGACUGUCGGACCGUUCAUUAUCGUCUUCAA